rnacentral:pre_miRNA from 1 species
GUCUUCUAUCCUUCAUUCCACCGGAGUCUGUUUCUUCUAAUCAAUCAGAUUUCAGUGGUGUGAAGAGUAAGAAGCA